rnacentral:rRNA from 1 species
AUUGAACGCUGGCGGCAUGCUUUACACAUGCAAGUCGAACGGCAGCGCGGGCUUCGGCCUGGCUGCGAGUGGCGAACGGGUGAGUAAUGCAUCUGAACGUGCCCAGUAUUGGGGGAUAGCCCGGCGAAAGCCGGAUUAAUACCGCAUACGACCUGAGGGUGAAAGCGGGGGACCGAAAGGCCUCGCGCUAUUGGAGCGUCCGAUGUCGGAUUAGCUAGUUGGUGGGGUAAAGGCUUACCAAGGCGACGAUCCGUAGCUGGUCUGAAAGGACGACCAGCCACACUGGGACUGAGACACGGCCCAGACUACUACGGGAGGCAGCAGUGGGGAAGUUUGGACAAUGGGGGCAACCCUGAUCCAGCCAUGCCGCGUGCGGGAAGAAGGCCUUCGGGUUGUAAACCGCUUUUGUUCGGGAAGAAAUCCUCUGGGCUAAUACCCCGGGGGGAUGACGGUACCGGAAGAAUAAGCACCGGCUAACUACGUG